rnacentral:lncRNA from 1 species
UUUCUUUUGGGCUGGGCUUGGUCUUGGUUAUUUGUUUCCUUUUUAUUGCUUUUUACACCUCCUUUUCUUCCCUUUUUCACUUUUGCUUCAAAAUGGGUACCUGAUGUAAAUAGAAAAGAAAUACUGCAUAAUAUCUGAUAAAAUGGGAUAAAUUAAAGUAAAUGAUAAUAUAAUCUAAUUAAGUUAAGUCUUAAAAUGUG